UGUGGAGGACCCUGGCCUGCCGACCUGGUCGGACCGAGGUCCGGAAGGUCACGUUGGCCGCAUGCGCAGUGAAAGGAGCCGGACCCUGUGAGGGCCGCGCCCUGCUCCCGCCUCGGCCCGCAGGGCCUUGUGCUCCGGUGUGACGGUCUCCAGAGUGUCCCAGUAGAUGAAUUGGUGGUAAGUCCUGAUGCACAGGAUUUAGCUGUGCCAGAUUGAAGAUUCCAGGAUGACUGAAGUUGACCUUUCUGGUGAGUGAAGACUGGGGUCAUGACAGUGAUGGAACACAGCAGCCUCAGGACCUGGUUUUACUGGCAGUGCCUGAUACUGAAGUAUCUGAAAAUACCAGCUUGUUGCUGGAGCCAUGCUUUAGAAUAAGAUCUGUUACCAGUAAAGCUGUCGUCUUCUGUGAUUGUGGAUCUACAGAGUUGGGAGAGAAACACUACAGGAAGAGGCAAAUGAAGAGACAAGGGGCUCUUUUAGGUGGAAACACCUUUUUUUCUGAUGCUGGUACCUGGCAUACAAGUGACCAAUAAAAGAUUCCUAGGGCUUCCCUGGUGGCGCAGUGGUUGAGAAUCUGCCUGCUAAUGCAGGGGACACGGGUUCGAGCCCUGGUCUGGGAGGAUCCCACAUGCCGCGGAGCAGCUGGGCCCGUGGGCCACAACUACUGAGCCUGCGCAUCUGGAGCCUGUGCUCCGCAGCGAGAGAGGCCGCGAUAGUGAGAGGCCUGUGCACUGCGAUGAAGAGUGGCCCCCGCUUGCCGCAACUAGAGAAAGCCCUAGCACAGAAACUGAAGACCCAACAUAGCAAUCAAUAAAUCUUUAAAAAAAAAAGAU